UCUUCUUCGGCAAUGUUAGUCCACAAGGUUUUGUCCCGUGUGUCCACCAACGUUUCCCGGACUUCUUUUAUCUCUGCUUCGAAAUGGCCCCAACACUUCUUCAAUCACUUACAUUCCCUUGUUCAGCAAUCUCCCAACAAGUGACAUCAAUAACUGAUAUCUUGAAGAGCCUCUACCUUGACAAGUCAAUAAUUGAUGGCUUGAAGAGA
rnacentral:sRNA from 1 species